rnacentral:lncRNA from 14 species
GGGCUAUAUCCCUUGUCUGAAAGUUAAAAACUGCAUGAAGCCAAUUGCUUUGUGAUGAUUUGUAUUUGUUAUGAGGCCGGGUUAAGCAGAUAGACAGGCUUUGGGGCUGGGAGCACAUUUCAUACUGCGGAAGGCAUCACAGCCUUCCCAUACAACAGCGUUUGUGGAGGCUGCUUAUAAAGGUAGGGCCUGAAUCAUUAAAUCCAUUGGUAUCUGGAGACAUUGCUAGAGAUGAGCUGGGUUUUUAUUGCUUUCUGUUUCUCAGUUUAUUGGGAUAGAGCCCAGCCUACUAAAUAUUUACUAUUCGCCAAGCUGGGAUGCUGAAUGCUGGAAGAAGCUGAGGAAUCUAGCCUGGUCCUCACAUAUCCCAUUCCCUGAGCACACUCUGCCACACGUGUCCAUCUUUCCCUCCCAUCACUAGCAAAAGGACAAAUGAGCCCUGUGUUUGUGCUGUGGGAGGAGGCUGUGUGUUAUCUGGGAUGAUUCACCCUGAUAAAUAACCUCCUCGGAGGCCUGCUCUUGUUUAUAGAAACAGCCCCAAAUGCUGAAGAUGACAGAGAUUUUCAUCCGUGCUCUUCUCAUGCAUAUUUACUUGGCAGUUUUAUCAGAACCAUCUCAAGCAAACCUCAGUGUUUUUAUGAUUAAUUGACUAAUGGUAAAAAUAAAGGCGUUUGGAGAGGUGCCCAGCGAGCUGCUGAGCAGUGUGUAAUAUAGCAACCGGAGCCGGAGUCUCAGGGGUAUGGAUAUUUUCCUAACAAACGCAGUCUCAUGACUUCGUGAUUAAAUCUUUAUGAGUCUGAAAUUCACCCUGUUGAUUUUCUUUUUUCUCUGUUUAUGCUGCAUGAUUGUUUCUGGGAAAAUCCACAUUGGUUUAAAGGGACAGUGCUCCUUCUGCUCCCAGAGCGGGGGAAUCCCAGAUCCACAAGCAAAUCAUCACGCCCUGCAAACUACAUCAUCAGCAUCUUCCUCUGGAAAACAUCAUCAUGUUAAUCCAUUUGUCCUGGCAGCCAGAUGAUUGAGACCACACGUGCUGACAGUACCUGCUGGCAAUAACCUCGUAGAUGGCAACAGGAAAAAGACAGAAAAGCCCCAGAAGAAUGCUUUGCCAAAACAGGCUUGACAAACUUUAAAGACACGCUGGAGGAGGUGGAGGUAAUUUGGGUGAGCAUUAGGUGAUUUCAUCCUGUCCCUCGGCAGGGAUCUGCUCCAUGACUGUGAUGUAGCUAUGGCAGCAUGCUGCACUUGUGGGAUUCUCAGCUGUUUAUGUGUG